rnacentral:rRNA from 1 species
GAUGAACGCUGGCGGCGUGCCUAAUACAUGCCAGUCGAGCGAACGGACGAGAAGCUUGCUUCUCUGAUGUUAGCGGAGGACGGGUGAGUAACACGUGGAUAACCUACCUAUAAGACUGGGAUAACUUCGGGAAACCGGAGCUAAUACCGGAUAAUAUUUUGAACCGCAUGGUUCAAAAGUGAAAGACGGUCUUGCUGUCACUUAUAGAUGGAUCCGCGCUGCAUUAGCUAGUUGGUAAGGUAACGGCUUACCAAGGCAACGAUGCAUAGCCGACCUGAGAGGGGGAUAGGCCACACGGGAACUGAGACACGGUCAUGACUCCUACGGGAGGCAGCAGUAGGGAAUCUGCCGCAGUGGGCGAGAGCCUGACGGAGCGACGCGGCGUGAGUUAUGGAGGUCUUCGGAUCGUAAUACUCUGUUAUUAGGGAAGAACAUAUGUGUAAGUAACUGUGCACAUCGUGACGGUACCUAAUCAGAAAGCCACGGCUAACUACGUG